AUUAUUUCCCACUAAACCUAACUUUCCCAUUAUUUCCCACUGCACCUAACUUUCCCACUUUUUCAUACCAUUAUGAAAAAACACACACAUGCAAAACCUAAUUUUCCCACUAUUACCACACACUCAAUCUGCACUACAAACACACACACUAUUAUAUAAAGAACACAAUAGACUAAACACCAAGGAAGAGAGAAAAAAGAACACAUGCAAUAUAGACACCACAAUAGCAUAUACAUGACUCCAUACUAUAAAAAACACUAAUGAAGAAGAAGCCAUAACAACAAAAAGGGAGAGACGGAGAGUCAAUGAAGGAAGCAAAGUAAUAGUUUUGAGUUGAGUCCAUGGCUCUUGAAAAUUAGCUAGUUGCUAACUUUGGAAAUUAAUAUUGGAGAUAAUGAAAUAGAUAGUGAGAUUUUAGAUCAUCAGAUGCAUAGACUAAGGAAUAAAGAAUUUCCCUUGGUCAAAGUUCUUUGGCAGAAUCAGUCAGUUUAGGGCGCUACUUGGGAAGAGAAGCAGAUAUGCGAGCCAAGUACCCUCAGAUCUUCUCCGUAAACUCAGAUUUAGCUGAAGGUAGCACUCUUCCUUAAUCCAGUUCUUUACUAAUCAUAGAUUCAGCUAUGUAGUUUUCCUCAUGUAAGUUCAUGCACUCAUAGAAUUACACAGAAGCUCAGAAUGAUUUAGAUUCAGUUAUGCAAUUUGUUUCAGUUGUGCAUGCUAUCAUAUAUCCUCAGAUUCCUCAGUAUCCUUAGUCGAACUAGCCAUAUUCGAGGAUGAAUGAUUCCAAGAGAGAGAUAUUGUAACACCCUGUACUUUUUCUAGUUCAAGUUAGCAUUGGAAAUGUAAAGAGUUGGCUUCCAGAGAGAAUGAAUUUUCAUCCGUUUAGAA